ACUAACUCUCUUAUUGAGUCUCAAAACUCUCAAAUUGCUUUGGUGUGUGCUUGUGUUUGUGUUGAGAAAUUUAAAAUGGCUGACAAAUCCCAGACUCAGAACCUCAGCGAGAAAGCUGGCGAUGCUCAGAUAAGCAAGGACCAGAUGAUGGAUAAGGGAAACGAUGCUGUCAAUUCUGCCAAGCAAUCGUGUCAAGAGACUGGCCAGCAAAUGAAAUCCAAAGCAGGAGGAGCUACGGAAUCUGUCAAGAACGCAAUGGGCAUGAACAAAUGAAAAUUAUCUCUCUUUUCUUUUUUUGUGCUUUAAUUGAAGAAGAGAGCUGAUUAUUGUUCUUGUUCCUUGAACAAAUUAUAAUCGCUCUUUUUCUUUCUUUUUUGCUUUUUUUUUUAAUUGAAGAAGGGUGAUUAUUGUUCUUGUUCUUUCGAAAAUGAAGAGUUCUCCCAACAGAUGCAGAUGUAAGAACAAACCUCAAAUUAAUAAUCGUUUUUUAGUAACAA